rnacentral:rRNA from 1 species
UACGUAGGUGGCGAGCGUUGUCCGGAUUUACUGGGCGUAAAGGGCGCGUAGGCGGCCACCGCAAGUCGAUUGUGAAAUCUCCGGGCUUAACCCGGAAAGGUCAACCGAUACUGCGGGGCUAGAGUGCAGAAGGGGCAACUGGAAUUCUCGGUGUAGCGGUGAAAUGCGUAGAUAUCGAGAGGAACACCUGCGGCGAAGGCGGGUUGCUGGGCUGACACUGACGCUGAGGCGCGAAAGCUAGGGGAGCGAACGGG